ACUAGUGUAUUUCAUUUACACCGCUGUUGCAGAAUUAUGGUUUUAGUGCUUGAACAAGGAGUCUAAAAUAGAUUGGCAGUUGCCCGGUAGUUUUACAGGCAGACUAACAACCAUGCACAUUUUGUUCAGGUCAAGAUGAGAAUUUUAAUGGGAACUUAUGCUCUUUCUGGUGGAUAUUAUGAUGCAUAUUACAAACGUGCCCAGCAAUGUUUUAGGUGAGGACCUUGGUUCAGAAAAGCUUCAAGGCAGCAUUGGAUGAAAAUGACAUCCUCAUUUCACCUGCUGCACCAUCAGUGGCUUAUAAGAUAGG